CCAUUCCUUGGUCCUGGGAUGCAUCUUUUUGGGCUGGGGAGCAGCAGUCAGAAGGAGAAGGAGCAGGGUAAGGGGUCCUCCCCUCACCCUUUUUUCUUGUCAAAUAGCCAGGGGUCAGCCUGGAGAGUGGCCUCCCUUGGUGAGCUUUUCUGCUGCUCCUGGAGCCUCUUGAACUUAUGACAUGGACAGAAGGCCAGCCCUCUAGGCUCCCAGCGGUGGCUGCUGUGGCAGUUGCCUGCCAGCUCCAGCUUGUCUUCAAUCAGUGUCCCCAGGACCCGACCAAAGAAGACAGCUUUGUAUGCCGAUUGUGCUGUCAGCCUUCUUCCCCUCUCCACUAUGAUGGAGCUAUAAAUCCUGUCCCCUGGAUAUGGAGAGGGACCCCCUGAGUCUCAUCUACCCAGGAUUAAUUCAGAAAAGCUACAGUCUGGAGACAUGUCCCGGCUUCCCUGGUGCUGCUGAGCUCCUGCGGUGGAGCUGUGCUCCGUGACCUCAGAGGCAGCCCGCUGGGGACUGUGGCCAGAGGUGGCUGGAGAAAUGACACUCAACGCCUUGUUUUCCUGUCCGGUGUUUCAGAGGUUCCAGGGCCUGUCGGGACAUCGUUUAAUGGCAGCCUCAGGCCCACACCCUCACAGUAAGCCUCUCGGUGCCCGGUUCCAAGCAUGGGCUCUUCUGUGGAGCGAGCUGCAUGCCCUCACCACAGGGCUCCCAAGGGACGAUGGAGUUUGCGGGACAGCGUGCCCUGCCACGGUGUACAGUUGAUGCCAGAGUUCCCCUGUCGUCCAGAACACCAGCCUCCUGAGCAGGGAACCCAGGAGGGAGAGGGAGUGAAAGCUGUUCCGGGUCAGCCCCUGCCUACAGCUCACAGUCCACCUGGGUGAACUCCCCAUGGAGUGGUUAAUAGUGGCAAUCAGAUUCCUGCUGGGGAAGGACUCUGUUCCCUAGGGACACGACUGAGCCUAGUCAAACUGCCUUCCCCUGGAGGGAAGCACCUGGACGCAUCUGCUCCUGUCACCUUGACAGCAGCGGUCACUCAACGCUGCAAGCGCAGCCACUGUCAAAGCAGGGCUCAGAGUGCAGACAACCAGCAGUUGCCUAAUUGGUGGUGCACACUUUACAAGAGUGAGAAACACCCGGCCUGGGGCGAGUGGCACUCUUCCUCACCGCCUGCCGUGGCAGCCCAGCCGGGACCCUGGGCUGGAAGCAGGCUUGCUGUGGAAACAGCAGGCACCCAAGCCGCCAGCAUCCCCUGUUCCUCUUCUAAGACAAAGGGAAAACAUUUCAAAAGCACCUCUGCGUGGCAGAAGAGGAGCCGAUGCUGUUGCUGCACGUGCCAGGUGCUGCCUCUACAGCAGAGCAAACUGAGGCUCCCAGAGGCUCCGUGACCUGCCCGAGGGCUCAUGGGAGCCAGCCCCUGGCACUGAGUCCUGACUCAGCUUGCCGGGGCCCCAGUCCUCGGUCUCUGCCCAGUGAGAGCCUGCAGCUCCUUAACAACCUGUGGGCCGGCUCCUGCUCCCCCACCCCACAGCCCUUGUUUCAGAACUGUUUGGCUUCACUACACACGACUGCUUAUGGAGUCCUGCUUGCCUCCAUGACACGAGCCAAAAACCAAGAGCCUCCAACUCAUACAUGUGUCCCUUCCAGGGCUACUGCCUGCGCCACAUCUUCUUCCCAACAGUCCACUUGGCCACUUCACUCUGGUUUUCAGCAAGAUCCUUUAUUUGUCUCCUGUUUCCCCCACUGCGUCCCAUGAGUACAGGUAGCCAGGUACCUCUACAGGCUGUUGGCUUUGUAAACGUGGAGUGGUCAGUAUGUACAGAAAUCAUGCACCUCAGUGAUUCUUUAACAAGAUACUCAGUGAGUAAAAAGACUUCAGGUGGGUUUGAGAUUUCUACCCUUUCCUGCAUUCUCAUCGCUGAAAAAUACCUGUAUAGAAAUUUUGCUCACAUGUAGACCCGUUUUCCUUCGCAGACUUGCUACUGCCUGCUAGUGCAUCUCACGCUGUGUCUACUCCUGUGGGUGCUUCCUCACAGAGGCUGCUGCCUUCUACUCGGAUACAAACGCUGGACCUGUAUGUGUGACGCGUUGGACAUUCACAACUGCCCCGUGGCUUUAGAAAUCCGACACUGCUCAGGACACAUCUGAGACAAGCAUCUCUAGUAUGGCUGGAGGCUCCUCUCUCACACAUAGGCUAACAGGAGACUGCUUCUAGAAUUAGUGCCUCGAACCAGCCACAUCCCUCACAGGAGACCGGAAAGCCAGCACUGCGCCAGGGGUCCUCUGGGCUGACCGGCCCCAGCGCUGGCACUCACAGACAGCCUCCUGCAACGACACACACAGGACUGGCUCCUCCACCAUCUCCGAGUCCCCCACUUGAGCAUUUAUGUACAAAUAAACACAAAGUCAUAAGCAACAGAACCCCAAAGCAAAAUGGACACUUUGGUCAGAUCUACAAUCCAAGUUUUGGCCAGAGACAGGCUCUCCCAGGAAUCAUCUGGUAAGUGAGGCCCCAUCCCACCACAGCUCCUGUCAGCCAGCCUGGCGGUCUCGACAUUCAUCACUGUGGAUGCAAAAUAGCUCACCGGGGAAUAUUCCAGGCCCAGUUUGGCAGUAGGACUUCUGUAGGCAGUGAGAGCACUGAAAAGACCAGGUAGCAACCUGACGCAGACAACGGGGGUGCCGGGCCUCUGGUCACCGAGCAAAUGAAUGCGUUAUCAGGCAGGAAGGAACUGCAGAAGCAAAUGAUCGGAAGGGAAAAGAAAAAUCUAAGGAAAUACAAGCUGAAAUUUUCCCGUUUACAAUAACCAAAGGGAAGAGGGACCCAAUGUGAUAGAAAAAUCCCGAAUGAGAGCUUUCUGCUGAGGCAGGUCUCUAAGCAUGGAAUCUGGGUCUGGACUGUACCCAUCUUCCCUGGCUGGCCCGCGGCUCCUCUUGCCGACUGCAGCAUGGGAAAAGGUUCUCAUCGUCCUGGAGCAAAGAUGAAAUCCAGGGCCUGCCGUUCAGCUGCUGCCACAUUUGGAUGCCACAAAUCCACCAUGAAAACCACCCGUGGGCCAUCCUCUGCUGAACCUGGGAAGGGGAGCAAGAGAGGACAGGUCUGAACCACCCCAGAGCCAGGACCGCGCAGGGCUGGACGCCACGUGGUUAGCUUCUGUCCCUUGGCACAGAUGGGAAUCAAGAAUGUUAUCAUGAUUUCAUUAAGAUUCUGAGCAGAGUGCGUAAAAGGAACCGGGUGGUGGUGGGGUGGCGUAGCGGUGAAUGAGGAGGGGGCCAAGCCCGGUGGGAUCUGCCCAGUACCCACUUAGGGCAGUGAAGCAGAUUUCAUAUGAUCCUGUGAUGGUGGACACAUGACUUUACAUAUUCGUCAAAAUCAACAGAAUGUACUCCACCAACGUGAACCCUAAUGUAACGUAUGGCCUGUAGUUAAUAAUAACGUGUCAGUAUGGCUCAUCAA